CGAAGGGGGCUAGCGUUGCUCGGAAUCACUGGGCGUAAAGCGCACGUAGGUGGGUCGCUAAGUCCGGGGGUGAAAUCCUGGAGCUCAACUCCAGAACUGCCUUCGAUACUGGCGAUCUUUGAGUCCGGGAGAGGUGGGUGGAACUGCGAGUGUAGAGGUGAAAUUCGUAGAUAUUCGCAAGAACACCAGUGGCGAAGGCGGCUCACUGGCCCGGUACUGACACUGAGGUGCGAGAGCGUGGGGAGCAAACAGGAUUAGAUACCCUGGUAGUCCACGCCGUAAACGAUGGAUGCUAGCCGUUGGUGAGCUUGCUCAUCAGUGGCGCAGCUAACGCAUUAAGCAUCCCGCCUGGGGAGUACGGUCGCAAGAUUA
rnacentral:rRNA from 1 species